GGAUGUGAGGGUGAUCUGUGACAUCUGUCACUCUUGAUCACCAGAGUUGAUACUGCUGAUCUAAUAUGGCUAAAAGGUACCCUUUUCCUCCCUCACCACUCUGUGUGUCUGUCCCAAAGCUGUGUGCCUAGGAAGAGGAUGACCCCCCCCCAAUAGAGGAAGUUCUUUAGCCAAGAGUAUACAAGUAGUUGUGCUCCCCUGUUAGAACUUCCAAACUAGUCAAUUUAGAAGAAACUGCCAACUUUUCUUGUCUGGAGAGAUGGCUUAGCAUUUAAGAGGACCUG
rnacentral:snRNA from 1 species